UUGUAAUUACAGAGAUUAGUAAAUAUGUAAUAAUUAAGUAUAUAUCGCGAAUUUAUAAGCUAGAUUGAAACGAAGCAUAAGGUUUUGGAAGACUCAAACAUAAAUUUAGAUAAAUUUACACUCGUAUUAUUUUACUUUUAAUAAAUAUGGAAAUAUAUGAAAAAUGUUGUACAUAUUAACUGCUUAUAGCUAUUUAAUUGUAUAAGUUGCGUGAAAGUAUGAAUUGUAAAAAAUUGUUCGGCAUGUGGUAGCGUGGCCGAGCGGUCUAAGGCGCUGGUUUAAGGCACCAGUCUCAUCUGGGGCGUGGGUUCGAAUCCCACCGCUGCCAAAUUUUUUUAUAUAUCAGUAAUGUAAAACAUUUUUUAAUUGCCAAUAGAAAAUAUACAUAUUAUAAAAUUAACGUAAUUGAAAUGAAAAUAGAAUAAUAAUCAUAGUAGUUAAUUGACUCAUUCUAAGCAGAUAUGUUAGAAAUAACAUUAGUAUUAAUAGUGAAAGUAUUAGAAUAAUUGUAUAUUUCUUAUACAAUUAAUGUAGAAUUACUAUGUACAUAUAUAAAUAAAAUAAUAGAGAUGAUAAUAGGGCUCAAAGUAAUAGAAAUAAUAAUAAAGGUUCUACUUUACCAAUAUAUGCAUAGAUAUUAUCUAGUAUCAAUAAGGAAGGAAUCUGUAAUAGCAUUUACAGAAAUGCUAAAUUACAGACAGAUAUACAGUCAUUGACCAAGAAUAGGAUUCUCAUGUAAUGUAAAAAUAUGUCACACGACCCGAGUGCUAUGUAGCUGCUCAUGCCAUUUUACUGUCACAUGCGACAUUAUCGAUUUAGAUAAAAUAACAGCGCUAUUGGAACAGCAGGAAUUACAAUUAAAUUAAUAAUCGAUAUAAUUACAAUAGAGAAGAAAUUUUCCCUCUAAUUACAAUCGGAAUCGAUCUAUGUUUUACAUAAAUCAUUCAGUUUCACCUCAAAUUCUUCACCUUGUGAGUCAGUAUUCCAUCCAAUGUACAAAUCACUGGAGGAGAUUUUAAUACUGCAGCAAUGUUUCGUCAUUACCCGAAGGCAUAACUAGCAGAAAGGAAGUGUAAAUGCAGAUCAAUCCGUGCAGAUCAAUCAAAACAUUGCUCAUGUCGGAAAUAUGAAACUCCCUGUAAACGGAAAUGUCCGUGCACCCUGGAAAUCUGCAGCAGACACAAUGCACAAACGUGUAACCUGCUGAAUCCUGAUAUUUUAUAAAAAAAAAUAUGAAUCUGAAAAAAAACUAAAGUAAUUUAAAUUAUAUUUUUAUAACUUCAUCUGUAUAAUUAUAUGUUACCAAAAUCUUAUUUUUUGUGUUCAAAUAAGAUGGUAAUGUCAAUUUCUACACUUUAUGAUCAAAAUAUUUUAUAAAUUAACUCUAAAAAAUUUUUUUAAUUGUUAUAAUAAAUAAAGAAAUAAUA